rnacentral:lncRNA from 1 species
UUUUAGCAGAGUACAAUCGAAGUCGCUCACAUACACGAGCGUACACUCACCCCUAUGAAUGCACACACGCACACCCUACCCCUAUGAGCACCUUCGAGAGACUAAGGCGGCACAUCAUCUUGAGAUUGACGAAGUCGCCACUGACGCCUUCGUUGUCGACGGGAACGUCUCCUCCCACUGAAAGCACUUCGCCGGAAUACCUGGAAUAAAUCCAGGAAAAUGCAAGCACCAACGUCAAGUCUGAAACUUGAACUCUGGUGGGCAGGGGAUACCACAGUCCUCCUAAUCAUCCAACCACAGGUUG